rnacentral:rRNA from 1 species
ACUACGGGGGGCUGCAGAGGGGAAUAUUGCACAAUGGGCGCAAGCCUGAUGCAGCCAUGCCGCGUGUGUGAAGAAGGCCUUCGGGUUGUAAAGCACUUUCAGCGGGGAGGAAGGCGGUGAGGUUAAUAACCUCAUCGAUUGACGUUACCCGCAGAAGAAGCACCGGCUAACUCCGUGCCAGCAGCCGCGAUAAUACGGAGGGUGCAAGCGUUAAUCGGAGUUACUGGGCGUAAAGCGCACGCAGGCGGUCUGUCAAGUCGGAUGUGAAAUCCCCGGGCUCAACCUGGGAACUGCAUUCGAAACUGGCAGGCUAGAGUCUUGUAGAGGGGGGGAGAAUUCCAGGUGUAGCGGUGAAAUGCGUAGAGAUCUGGAGGAAUACCGGUGGCGAAGGCGGCCCCCUGGACAAAGACUGACGCUCAGGUGCGAAAGCGUGGGGAGCAAACAGGAUUAGAUACCCUAGUAGUC